rnacentral:rRNA from 1 species
GUGUCAGCAGCCGCGGUAAUACGUAGGGUGCGAGCGUUGUCCGGAAUUACUGGGCGUAAAGAGCUCGUAGGUGGUUUGUCGCGUCGUCUGUGAAAUUCCGGGGCUUAACUCCGGGCGUGCAGGCGAUACGGGCAUAACUUGAGUGCUGUAGGGGAGACUGGAAUUCCUGGUGUAGCGGUGAAAUGCGCAGAUAUCAGGAGGAACACCGAUGGCGAAGGCAGGUCUCUGGGCAGUAACUGACGCUGAGGAGCGAAAGCAUGGGUAGCGAACAGGAUUAGAUACCCUGGUAGUCCAUGCCGUAAACGGUGGGCGCUAGGUGUGGGGGUCUUCCACGACUUCUGUGCCGUAGCUAACGCAUUAAGCGCCCCGCCUGGGGAGUACGGCCGCAAGGCUAAA